UUUACUUCCUACCCCUUACGUUGGGCCUCUAAAAUGGUCACCCAGGUGGAAAUUUUACGCUCACUUUAUUUUGCAAAGUUUG